UGUUUUAUUGCUGGAGUGAGAAAUAGAAAAGAAGAGAGAAAUAGAGAGCUCAUACUAACAUUAUAAUUUGAUGUUACUUUAGGUCUCUGUAUAUCAAAUUAUCAAUCAUCAAAAAGUGAAGAUACAAUCACUAUGUAGUUAACUAUUUCUUUCAUUCAAUAAUAAAUUAAUCGAUAUAUCUUGGUGACUCAUACAUUGUGGCGCAUGUGAUAGAUCAAUAGAUAAUUGUUGGUGGCAUACUCUAUUAAUUGUUUGUGCGGAUUUACCCCUAUAAUCAAGUAAUUUUGGAGGUCAUUUUGCACUUUGCAGGUGGUUUUGUAUUUUACUUGUUCUGUUGGUUUCUUAUAUUCCAUGUUUAUAUAUGGAACUAAUAUAGUUGUCAUUGUCGCUGUUGUUCUUGGAUUUCUUGGGUUCCCCCAUGAAUUAAGUUUUUUUCUUUCGAGGUCAUCUUGCAGGUUGUUUUCUGGUUUAAUUUGGUUUUUGGAAUGAAGAAAACAAAUUGGAAUUGAAUAAUUGAGAAUUCACGACACCUUUUUUUUUUAAGUGUGACAUCUUAUUGGUGUUUUUCCCAUAGAUUUUCCGGUGUUCAUGUAUUAGGGGAAAAAAAGCUUCAUUAGAGUGCAUAUGUGGUGUCCGAUUUUAGUCCGUUUUCAUAUAAUUAGACAUGAGAUAGUUUCAUCAGAAUGCGUAUGUGGUGUCUGAUUUGUCCGUUUGCAUAUAAUUAGACAUGAGGUAGUUUUAGUUUUAGUUUUAGUUUUAUAAGUAAUUAUAACGUUUUUCACAAAAAAAAAUAGUUAUAACUUUUAAUCGUUUAAACUGUUUUUGUUAAAGUUAAAGACUACAAAAUAGCUAACAGUUGUAGGCCUUUGCUUUGCUCCCAUAAGGACUGGGGUUCAAACCACCUCAUGGGUACCUACAUGACAAAAGUCAUGGUUUCCUGCCUUCCAAAGAUUGUAGGGGCGGAGGGCUCCAGUUGCUAACUCGUAUUGACAAAGUGGGUUUGGGGGAUUUUUGGGUAUAAAAAAAAAAAGAGCUAAAUAUUGUUCAAAAAUUGGCCUCCAAGGAGAAUCUUAUGUCUAGAGGUUUACUUAGAAUUUGAUGUUGAAUCUUUGAUUUUAGAUAACUGCUACAGAGAGAAAUAUGCUUAAAGUGGCAAAGAGCAAAAGCAAGCGCCAAAUCUACACAAGAAAGCGCACACCAGCUUAGCUUCAACUUUACCUAUUUGGUCGACAUAUUAAGUACUGCAUAAUGUUUUGUCACCGCAAUUAAACUUGUGCAAGCACGAUUUGGUUCUGUAAGGAUUCCUCUGUUUCCUUGCUUUGGUUGGAGAAAUUUUGGUUUGGCGGAGAUAUUGGUUGUGAAACUAAUUAAAAAAGGAAGUGCAAAAGGAAAAAGGAAAUACUUCUAUUAUUAGAUUUUUCUGAUUUUAAGUGUUAUUAUUGACGACUUUGCAUUUUUUGUUCCCUGUUGCUUAUCUUAGCUUCAACUUUUUAGAUUUGGAUUAGCUACUACAAAACAUUUUGCCAUCAAAGAUAAACAUGAGCAAGGAGAUUUUCAUUCUGUCUAUGAGAUGCAUAUGAGGCAUUUGAUGACAAAACUGCUCAGACAAUUACAUAGCCAUAUUUAUACCAUGGAAGGGAUAAGGAAAGGUCAUGCAGAAAAAAGUAGAUAAAAGAUAUAGGCUUAGUUUGGUAAUGCUGUAGAUUUUAAAAAAAAU